rnacentral:rRNA from 1 species
UACGGAGGGGGCUAGCGUUGUCCGAAGUUACUGGGCGUAAAGCGCGCGUAGGCGGGUUGGUAAGUCCGCUGUGAAAGCCCGGAGCUCAACUCCGGAGGGUCGGUGGAUACUGCCAGUCUUGAAGGUGCUAGGGGGAGAUGGAAUUACCGGUGUAGCGGUGAAAUGCGUAGAUAUCUGGAGGAACACCGGUGGCGAAGGCGGCAUCCUGGACCAACACUGACACUGAGGAGCGAAAGCCAGGGGAGCAAACGGG